rnacentral:lncRNA from 1 species
AUUAAUCCAGGUGCAGAUGAAGUCAGGUAUCUGUCCUGUGAAGUCUAUUUGUGCAAGUAGUACGUCUAUCUGUGCAAGUAGUAUAUCUAACUGUGCAACUUUUUGGCUACCACUUAUCCAAAAACUGACCUAAUAUGAAAUGUAAGAAAAACAACCAAACAUGCUAGUGGGGAUGGAAAACUCAACAUACAUGAACCACCACAUAUUUAUCUGUGCAACCACGAAGUCUAACUGUGCAAGUAGUAAGUCUAUCUAUGCAACCAAUCACCAGAUCCUGACAUCGCUGUGUAAUUGCUUCGAUAAGCCAUUGCCGACGCCUGCAUUGAAGAUUUCGUGAAUCUGCCGCUGCAUCCUGAAAUCUCUGUAUAUAGGGUUUCGAGUGGCCAUCGCCGGCGCCUGGAAUCGCCGCCGUCGUCUGAAGAUCGCCAAUCAUAAUUUUGCAUAGAUUUGCAGUCGACGCUUAGUGCAAAGAUGGAGUCUUUUUAUUAAACCCUAGAGAAUGAAAGUGGGGAAGUAAAUCCAGG